rnacentral:misc_RNA from 1 species
AUUUAGCUAAAAUAUCCUCUUUCAGCAAAUAAUGGUGAUGUAUCAUUGGAUGUGCCUUUUUAACCUGAUUUAAUGGCAAUCAAAUUCCGGUAAUAUGGUCUUUAAGAAAUCUAGAAAGAAAAAUAAACCAUACAUUACUUCCUUGCUGAAAAAAAAUAAUGAAGAUGGAGAAGAGGAGAGAAGAAAGAAAGCUUAUUUAUAUGAAAGUUGUUGGCAUUAGAUAUUGUGGAUUUCUUAAACCUCAUGAUCAUGAAGUGGAGUCUCCCCCCAACCUUCCCUUCUUCCCUAUAUCAUCAGAAACAGAAGAAAAUGACCUUGAGAUUAAGAGUGUUGCACUUUGCUUCAAAGUCAAGCUGGUCAUGGUGGUACAGAGCGUCAUGAAAAUCCAAGUUAUUUCAAACAUCCUCUGUUUAUUUCUUAUGCUAUGAAAAGAUUUCAUCUGAUUUUUUACAUUUCCUUUUAUUUCAUAUGUUUGUUGCUCAUACAUCAAUUA